GACGAACGCUGGCGGCGUGCUUAACACAUGCAAGUCGAACGAAGUGGCGAACGGGUGAGUAACGCGUAAUCAACCUGCCCUUCAGAGGGGGACAACAGUUGGAAACGACUGCUCAUACCGCAUAUUGUAGGUGGGGACUGCGUCGGAUUAGCUAGUUGGAGGGGUAAUGGUCCACCAAGGCGAUGAUCAGUAGCCGGUCUGGGAGGAGGAACGGCCACAUUGGGACUGAGAAACGGCCCAAGCGCCUACGGGAGGCAGCAGUGGGGAAUCUUCGGCAAUGGACGAAAGUCUGACGAAGCAACGCCGCGGGAGUGAUGACGGCCUUCGGGUUGUAAAGCUCUGGUAAUCGGGACGCGGUACCGGAAUAGAAAGCCACGGCUAACUACGUGCCAGCAGCCGCGGUAAUUC
rnacentral:rRNA from 1 species